AGAACGAACGCUGGCGGCACGCUUAACACAUGCAAGUCGAACGGGUUGGGGGACUUCGGUUUUCCAUCAAGUGGCGGACGGGUGAGUAACGCGUGGGAACCUGCCCUAUAGUGGGGGAUAACUGUGGGAAACUACAGCUAAUACCGCAUACGCUCCGUUUCAGAAGGUAGAGAGUACUCUUUCUUCUGAAGCGGAGGAAAGAUUUAUCGCUAUGGGAUGGGCCCGCGUCGGAUUAGGUAGUUGGUGGGGUAAUGGCCUACCAAGCCAAUGAUCCGUAACUGGUCUGAGAGGAUGACCAGUCACACUGGGACUGAGACACGGCCCAGACUCCUACGGGAGGCAGCAGUGGGGAAUAUUGGACAAUGGGGGAAACCCUGAUCCAGCGAUGCCGCGUGAGUGAAGAAGGCCUUUGGGUUGUAAAACUCUUUCACCUGUGACGAUAAUGACGGUAGCAGGAGAAGAAGCACCGGCUAACUCUGCGCCAGCAGCCGCGGU
rnacentral:rRNA from 1 species